rnacentral:rRNA from 1 species
UACGUAGGGCGCAAGCGUUGUCCGGAAUUAUUGGGCGUAAAGAGCUCGUAGGCGGUCUGUUACGUCCGCUGUGAAAACCCAGGGCUUAACCCUGGGCUUGCAGUGGAUACGGGCAGACUAGAGGCAGGUAGGGGAGAAUGGAAUUCCCGGUGUAGCGGUGAAAUGCGCAGAUAUCGGGAGGAACACCGGUGGCGAAGGCGGGUCUCUGGGCAGUAACUGACGCUGAGGAGCGAAAGCGUGGGGAGCAAACGGG